UACCCUGUCCCUGAGAUAACCAAGGUUAAUAAAUGGUCAGACACGUCACUGGCUUUAAAAUAUAAACCCCAUUGAUGCAAAAAGAUGCUGCAUGGAAUGACAAUGAGGUUUGGAACAGACUUGGUGAAGAACAUGGGACCAUCUCUAAAUAAAAUGGCCCCAAACAUCAUCAGGAGUGCAAAAGAAGGAAGUAAAAAACAUCUCUACGCCAAUCUCAUUGGAGAGGAAACCACAGAAGGUCUGGUGAGGAAUGCUGCACUUCUGUUAUUGCAAGCAUUAUUUCAAGAAAAUCCCAGCUUCCUUUACUGUGUAAAUAGUGAACCCAAAGGUCCCACACCAACCAUAGUGUUCAACGGCUCUCCUGAUCUUUUCAAAUCUGAAUGUAUCAACUUUAUAAUGGACAAUGUAAACUUAAUAUGUGGAAGACAUUGACAUCACAGGCUGUGGAAUGACUGUGUCACAGGUCGGAGAAGCGGACCGCCCCUGUCGCGGAUCACGCUCCUCCUAGUUCCACCUUGAGGAGGUCCCAAAGCACCCCAAUGACCAGACAAACCAGAGAUAAGUAAAAUAUAAAAAUAGAAACUUUAUUUAAAUUAUUUAAAACUAAAGUGGGGGAUGGGAAAGGGAAUCUAAAAAUCUCGCUUCUCGCCCUCAGGGGGAGUAUUACGGGGCCAGGGACGUUGGAGGGGUUUCCACGUGACUCCACCUCGAACACCGCUACAGAGCGUAUCUGGCUGGGUUGGGCACACACCGUCGCGGCGGCCCCUGAUGGCAUCCACAAAGGUCCAAGACCCUCCUAAGCUCCCAGCCGUAGCAGAACUACGUAUUUCAGCACCCGAACGACUAACAACCCAGCCGGCAUCUGCAGCGUAUAUCCAACGCGAUCAAACUUCACUCUGACAAGUAACUUCCUAUACACAACCACGCCGUCCUUUCGCCCGGACCAGCCCCGCACUCUUUCCGCCCGCUACCUAGCGGUCGCCGGAUCAGCAGAGCCUGCGGACUCUUCGGAGGCUGGUCUUCGUUGUGCUGCCCAAGGCGGAAGUUUACUUCCAGUAACUUCUACCUUCUCUCUUUAUAUCCUCCUCCAUGGCGUGGCUCGCCCAACCAUCGCUCGCCACGUCACUCACACAGCUGUGCCUUGUUUCAGCGAGUGCGGGGAUUCCCGGGGAACCCGGAAGUGCCGGUGUCUGUACAAACCGGUCCGGGCAGAACCUCUUCACUCUCCUUUUGGUUCCGCCCCGCAACUGUUUGCGUUUUUUUUUCUCCUCAAUGUUCAAUACCCUUUUGCCAUUAAGCACACAGUGACUUUAAUUUAUAAAAUAUAUGCUUAAGUUUUAAUACCUGUACAAAACAAAUGUACAAUCAACUUGUGUAAAUUGUCAUUCUAUUUAAUAGAUGGUUCAUGAAUUGUCUUUAAAUGCAUUGUGAUUUCGGUAACACUUUACAAUAAGGUUCAUUAGUUAACAUUAGUUAAUGUAUUAACUAACUUGAACAAACCAUGAGCAAUACAUUUGUUACAGUAUUUAUUCAUCUUUGUUAAUGUUAGUUAAUUCAAAUUUAAGCUUUAAUUGCUUGUUCAUGUUAGUUCAGAG